CGAUAAUAGACCAGGAUCUGAGACACAGGAGAGAAUAGAUGUUUAUACAGCACAUUUCUCACUACAAAUGCUUAAAGUGCUUAACAGAUAUGAGGUCGUUCGGUUCAAAUGAUUUCAAAAGUUGAAGUUCUAGUGAGUUACUAGCUCCUCUGUCCCCAUUUGAUCAACUCUAUGGUUACAAAUAUGAUGAAUAUUAAUGUUCAUGUCUUUCAAAUACAAGCAAAAAGCACAAUAAUAUAGAGUGUUUCUGUUAAAAAGAGGUCUCAGACAUGAGGUCACUCAAGUCAAAAGUUCAACGUUUUAGUUCUUCUGAUCUAGCCUGAAAUCCAGACCUGUUUUGUGCUAACAUUCCACUCCGUGUCAUAUGUCAAACAGGAGUGGAAUAUUAUCACAAACAGACUAGGAACCAGGCUACCUCUGUUCACUUACGAGCAACAACAAAACAUCUCAACUCACAGUCAACUACCAAAACAAGAAUAAGUACAUCUGUUGAAAAUACAAGCAUCCACCUCUUCCUGUUCAGAGAGAAGACAAGUACAACAUCACAAGGCCUUGGGAGCUUGUGAGGAAGAAAAAAAACAGAUCACCAUAAAAUAGCAUUUGUUCCAAAAUAGCUGGACAAGAAGUAAAGUACAGUAGUUUAAAGCAGCCUCUGUUUAAAGUACCACCUUCUACAUCUCCAAACAGUGCUGUAAGUCUCCAGCCCAUUCCUGUCUUGUGUUUUGCUAUAUAAGGCAAUAGGCAACACGUAUGACUCACGCCAUUUACUGUGGUGAGGUUGGAAUGGAGACUCCACAUGUGUUCUGCCCUCUGUCCUGCCCUCUGUCAUCUCUGCUUCACACAAACGUGAUUAAAUCCCCCUUCACCACAGAACUGUAACUGCAGAACAUAUUGAGGGGGAGUAAACUCAAGAAUGUAUUUCAAACCUUCUCAAGGAAACACCACCGAUGCUUUGUCAGUAAUACUGAGAUGUGUUAUCAACCUCUUUGCAGAGGACAUGGAAAUACCAUCAUGGUGACGUAAACAGUCACCUACAUUUAACUCAUGUGGGCCACAACCUAACCACAGACGUAGACAGGUCGCCCCAUCUAGCGCACAGGGGUAUUCUACAGCCCACGCCGAGGCGCUCUACAGCCCACGCCGAGGCACUCUACAUACCACGCCGAGGCGCUCUACAGCCCACGCCGAGGCACUCUACAUACCACGCCGAGGCGCUCUACAGCCCACGCCGAGGCACUCUACAUACCACGCGCUCUACAGCCCACACACUCUACAGCCCACCCAAUCUACAGCCCACGCCGAGGCGCUCUACAGCCCACGCCGAGGCGCUCUACAUACCACGCGCUCUACAGCCCACCCACUCUACAUACCACGCCGAGGCGCUCUACAGCCC
rnacentral:lncRNA from 1 species